rnacentral:rRNA from 1 species
UACGUAGGGGUGCAAGCGUUAAUCGGAAUUACUGGGCGUAAAGCGUGCGCAGGCGGCUUUGCAAGACAGAUGUGAAAUCCCCGGGCUUAACCUGGGAACUGCAUUUGUGACUGCAUGGGCUGGAGUGCGGCAGAGGGGGAUGGAAUUCCGCGUGUAGCAGUGAAAUGGCGUAGAUAUGCGGAGGGAACACCGAUGGCGAAGGCAAUCCCCUGGGCCUGCACUGACGCUCAUGCACGAAAGCGUGGGGAGCAAACAGG